rnacentral:rRNA from 1 species
GACGAACCGUGCGAACGUUGUUCGGAAUCACUGGGCUUAAAGGGCGCGUAGGCGGCCUGCCAAGUCAGGGGUGAAAGCCCCCAGCUCAACUGGGGAAGUGCCUUUGAUACUGGCGGGCUCGAGCGAGGUAGGGGUCGUGGGAACUUCCGGUGGAGCGGUAAAAUGCGUUGAUAUCGGAAGGAACGCCGGUGGCGAAAGCGCACGACUGGACCUCUCCUGACGCUGAGGCGCGAAAGCCAGGGGAGCAAACGGG